UACGAAGGGGGCUAGCGUUGCUCGGAAUCACUGGGCGUAAAGGGUGCGUAGGCGGGUCUUUAAGUCAGGGGUGAAAUCCUGGAGCUCAACUCCAGAACUGCCUUUGAUACUGAAGAUCUUGAGUCCGGGAGAGGUGAGUGGAACUGCGAGUGUAGAGGUGAAAUUCGUAGAUAUUCGCAAGAACACCAGUGGCGAAGGCGGCUCACUGGUCCGGUACUGACGCUGAGGUGCGAAAGCGUGGGGAGCAAACAGG
rnacentral:rRNA from 1 species